rnacentral:lncRNA from 1 species
GAAGGGACUACGCAGUGGUACACGGCAGUUAUCGUCUCGUACAACGAUAACACAAGGGUAAGUCUGGAUUUUCUUUUUUUUUUUUUUCGUCCGUAAUGGUUACAUCAGACAUAAAUAGCUGACCUUGGAACGAUGGAGCAGUGGGUGCGGUCCAUCGUAAGAAGGGCAAAACCGGUCGUGUCUACUCGAAAUAUAAGUUAGAGCGUGACCUAGUUUGUUUUCUCGGAAAUGAUUGUCAUUCUGAGCCAGAUGAGCCAUCGACUGCGCUUCCAUUUCCUCUAGUUCCGUGAUGCUCUGCCAUAUCCGGCUGUUGUAUCGUUAACGGUUGUACUGCAGUUGGUGAUUCUCGUCCGUGACUCAGUUCCUACCAUUUCGGUACGAAUUCUAUUCGCUUUAUCAAUGGAAAGCGAUCUGCCACUUCAUGCCUCACCUGCUACGUUCAUUACGUAUAGGCUUUAUGAGGAUCCAGGUGCACAUUCGUCAGGUGACAUUGCACUCAACAGCGAUUGUUCUCUCGUAUCGCCUACAUCAUGGAUAUGGAAAUGAAAUUUUAGAACGAGUUUCCGUACACGAUUCCAUUUUAAAUCCUGAAAGAAUGUGUUAGGCCGACCAUCCAGAAUAUUUAAAUAUAUAUAUAUAUUUUUUUUGAGGGCUACCAAAACGGAAGGAUUUGAAUUCCCGAGUAAUUAUGAUAAUUAUCAGUUUAUCCCGGUAAAAAGAUAUUAUUAAUUGGAAGGAUUUCUGAAGUAAGAAUUAAAUCUUGGACUUCGUUAGGAAGAUUAAAAUCAGUUAGUCUCGGUGCCAAUUGUAAGAGGAUUAAAAACAAUGGAAAGACUGCCAACUCGGACGAUUGCAAAUCUCUCUCUCUCUCGCUCUCUCGCACGAGACUUUGCACCAAGAACGCGUAAUUUCUUAAUUAGUUAUGUGUCAAAAUGAUGCAAUUCCUUCCUGGGUAAGCGUCCUUAAACGAAAACUGCAUGAUCGAACCUUUACACGACCAAAGGCGUAUUCGUUUUCAUUCGACCUUCAACACACCACAGACGAAUGCGUCACGGUUGUUCAACCAACUGAAAGCAAUCCUAGGAAACUCCAAUCUAUCUCAUGAAUAAUACACUAAAGGGUAGUAUGUAAAUUUAUCCGGGGCAAAGAAUUUUCCCUCCCCCCUUUUUUCUUUUCUUAAAACUGGACUUUUGACUCGAUAUAUUGCCCUUGACUCGCGCGGUUUGUGUCACUGGACUGACUGACAUCUCUCUCUUUUGAAGGUCAAAAAAAAAGGAUGGCAAACUUCUUUAAAAUUUUAAAGAACAAGAUAUAUAUAUAUUUUUUUUCCACUACGAAAAUAACAUAAAUAUACGGAAUUUGUCGUAACGCGUGUGGUUAUUUACAGUAGCGUGACUCAACCCGCAUCUUAUCUGUUUCCAUGUGGGAUUUAUUAUUUAUCUAAGGCGAUUAUGACUCAACGAUUUCGAUACUUCUUGUUUUUUUUUACUUUAAAAACAUUUUUUUAUAUCGUAAUCAUUUGCUUAAGUUCUGGACUCCAUUGUCUGAAUGGUUAUUAAUCGAACAUGUUAACGGGUAUUAACCAGCAAUCUAGUACUCGAGUACCUUUCUAACGUACGAGUACUAGAUUGUUACUCGUACGUUAUAGAAAGGUAGGAACGAAUAUCUCCCUCGGUAAGAGAGAGAAUAACUUAUACUUGAAAUUUUAUUGUUACAACUUAUUUUUGAUUUACAAUGGCGCGUUUAACCUUCGACGUGCCCCUAGGCUCUCAAACAGAAGAAUAUUAGUUUCUUAAAAAAGCAUCGAACAAUGAACAAUAGAAUUCGUACUGACUUAAUAGACGUGAUUGACAAGUUAUACGGUGUUACCAAUAACAGACCAGGCAUUGUCUAACAGCUAUCACCUUUCGGAAUCUUCUCUCGGUAGAUAGUCUAAGGAUUAUAUUUUCGUAACGUAACUGCAUAGAAUUUAUUUUAAUAUAAUAAGAAUCGCGAGUAAAUUUAGUGCGUGAACUCAUACGGGCGAAAGAGCAGUGCCAGUUUUCUCAGAGUUAUUAAAAGAAAUUCACUUUCGUUGCCAUAAAUUUCCGCAUUUUUUUUUUGUUUUUUUGCCUCUUUCGACGGGAGGCAAAAGUUAAAAAUCUCUUCGGAUUCCGUAAAAAUUAAAAGAGAAAAAAAAUGGAGGGGGGAACGUUACAUAAAUGCAAGCGUUUUGCUUAUCUUCAGAUUAUCAUUCCUGUUGGCAAACUGGAUGUAUAGAUAAAAGUACAAGAGAAAGAGAGAGAGGAAGGGGGAAAAAAGCAAAAUUAGUUUAUUCUUUAAAAUGCCGGAGGAAGUAUAGAAGACUGUUUUAUUAUAUAUUCAAUUUUGGUAUUUUUUUUUUUAUGGUAUUUUUCGUGAACCAUCGUUCUGAUAUUUAAUUCCUGCACCAGAAGAGUAUUUCCAGUCUGUUUAUGCUAAUUUAAUAACUCGCCUUUCUCUUUCGACAGCGAAAAGAAGUAACAUAAUUGUUCUCUCGGAGUUAAUAAGGAGUGAUCGUGCCUGAAUACAACUGUGACGCAUGCAACAUUUCCCACUCUUUCUCUACCGUGCGUGUGUGACAUGUGGGCCAAGCCCUAUCUCAGCAGUUGGUUGGUUUUUGUUCCACCGUCCAAUGCCGAGAAGACACACACACACUCUCUCAUGCUCUUUCGCUAGCGAAUGUUGCCAUUAUCGUACCGCGUGUUGUUGUUGUUCUAAUUGUAUAUGCAAAGAACGAAAUUUUUGGAUGUAAACAGUGUUUUUACUUUUUUUAAAACAGGAAUUAACUCUGACUGACGAUACUGUGCUCGAAGAACACAAUGAAGACCCAUGCCUGGU